CUGCAAGCGUUGUUCGGAUUCAUUGGGCGUAAAGGGUCCGUAGGCGGUCGGUUAAGUCGGAUGUGAAAUCUCGUGGCCUAACCACGAGCGGUCAUUCGAAACUAAUCGGCUAGAGGGCUGGAGAGGAGACUGGAAUUGUCGGUGUAGCGGUGAAAUGCGUAGAGAUCGACAAGAACACCGGUGGCGAAGGCGGGUCUCUGGACAGUUCCUGACGCUGAGGGACGAAAGCUAGGGGAGCAAACGGG
rnacentral:rRNA from 1 species